ACUAGUAACUUAAUAAUUAUUAUAAGUUAAAAUGGUAAAUUUGGUCGAUCAUUAAUAACUUAUCUAAUUAAAUAAAUCGUAAAGAUGGAAUUUCGAUAAUCUACAAAAUUGUUCUACUCAUAAUUCUACCCCGUGUCAAAAUACAAGUCUUUAAGUUUAGAACUAUUUGUUAUGGAAACCGGAAGAGAAGAGACCUCGAGGCUGACCAAGGAAAAGGCGGAUGUAGAAGAUCUUAAAGCUUUAGGAGUGGAAGAAUGGAAGGAAAUUGUUCAUGAUUGAGAGCGACGGAGAGAUAUAGUGAUGGCGGUACAAACUCUAAUAGAGUAUAUAACUUUGAUCAAUUACAAUUAAUGGUAUUUGAAAUAUUAUUUUAAAACAAAAUUUUUUUUAAAUAAAAAUAAUAAUAAAAUUGUAUUUAUUAA